AUUGAACGCUGGCGGCAGGCCUAACACAUGCAAGUCGAGCGAGAGGCGGACGGGUGAGUAAUGUAUGGGGAUCUGCCUAAUAGAGGGGGAUAACGAGUAGAAACGGUGGCUAAUACCGCAUAAUAUCGUAUGACCCCAUGCGGGAUUAGCUAGUAGGUGGGGUAAAGGCUCACCUAGGCGACGAUCCAUAGCUGGUCUGAGAGGAUGACCGGCCACACUGGGACUGAGACACGGCCCAGACUCCUACGGGAGGCAGCAGUAGGGAAUAUUGCGCAAUGGGCGCAAGCCUGACGGAGCCAUGCCGCGUGAAUGAAGAAGGUUUUCGGGUGGUAAAGUUCUUUCGGUAGCGAGGCGGUAUCUACACAGGAAGCACCGGCUAACUACGUGCCAGCAGCCGCGGUAAUAC
rnacentral:rRNA from 1 species